rnacentral:rRNA from 1 species
CAGUAGCCGCGGGAAUACGGAGGGGACUAGCGUUGUUCGGAAUUACUGGGCGUAAAGCGCGCGUAGGCGGCUUUUUAAGUCAGAGGUGAAAGCCCGGGGCUCAACCCCGGAAUUGCCUUUGAAACUGGAAAGCUAGAAUCUUGGAGAGGUCAGUGGAAUUCCGAGUGUAGAGGUGAAAUUCGUAGAUAUUCGGAAGAACACCAGUGGCGAAGGCGACUGACUGGACAAGUAUUGACGCUGAGGUGCGAAAGCGUGGGGAGCAAACAGGAUUAGAUACCCCUGUAGUCCCUGUCUCUUAUAU